AUAUUCAGGCAAGUAGAUUUGUUGGAACGAUACAGAGAAGAUUAGCAUGGGCCCUGCACAAGGAUGACACGCAAAUUUGUGAAGCGUUCCAUGUUUUU
ensembl:snRNA U6 U6 spliceosomal RNA